CCCCUGAUAGCUCAGUUGGUAGAGAAUCUGCCUGCAAUGCAGGAGAUCCUGGUUCAAUUCCUGGGUAGGGAA
rnacentral:tRNA from 1 species